GACGAACGCUGGCGGCGUGCCUAACACAUGCAAGUCGAACGGGGUCCAUGGGAGCUUGCUCCCGGAAGACCUAGUGGCGAACGGGUGAGUAACACGUGAGAAACCUGCCCUGGAGUGGGGAAUAACUCGGGGAAACUCGAGCUAAUACCGCAUACCCUCGGAUGGUCGCAUGGCCGACCGAGGAAAGAUUCAUCGCUUCAGGAGGGUCUCGCGGCCUAUCAGCUAGUUGGUGGGGUAACGGCCUACCAAGGCAACGACGGGUAGCUGGUUUGAGAGAACGAUCAGCCACACUGGGACUGAGACACGGCCCAGACUCCUACGGGAGGCAGCAGUGGGGAAUCUUGCGCAAUGGGCGAAAGCCUGACGCAGCAACGCCGCGUGCGGGAUGACGGCCUUCGUGGUUGUAACCGACGUUCUAGCAGGGACGGAAAAGUAGACGGUGCCUGCAGAAGAAG
rnacentral:rRNA from 1 species